AUUGAACGCUGGCGGCAGGCUUAACACAUGCAAGUCGAACGAGUGGCGGACGGGUGAGUAAUGCUUGGGAAUCUAGCUUAUGGAGGGGGAUAACUACGGGAAACUGUAGCUAAUACCGCGUACCAUAGGAUGAGCCCAAGAGGGCUCGGGUAGUUGGUGAGGUAAAGGCUCACCAAGCCGACGAUCUCUAGCUGGUCUGAGAGGAUGACAAGCCAAACUGGAACUGUGACACGGCCCAGACUCCUACGGAAGGCAGCCGUGGGGAAUAUUGGGCAAUGGGGGCAACCUGACGCAGCCAUACCGCGUGAAAGAAGAAGGCCUUCGGGUGGUAAAGUUCUUUCGGUAGCGAGGCGUUAACUACAGAAGAAGCACCGGCUAACACCGUGCCAGCAGCCGCGGUAAUAC
rnacentral:rRNA from 1 species